UACGUAGGGUGCGAGCGUUAAUCGGAAUUACUGGGCGUAAAGUGUGCGCAGGCGGCCGCGCAAGUCGAGUGUGAAAGCCCCGAGCUUAACUUGGGAAUUGCGCUCGAAACUACGUGGCUGGAGUGUGGCAGAGGAAGGUGGAAUUCCAGGUGUAGCGGUGAAAUGCGUAGAGAUCUGGAGGAACACCGAUGGCGAAGGCAGCCUUCUGGGACGGUACUGACGCUGAGACGCGAAAGCGUGGGGAGCGAACAGG
rnacentral:rRNA from 1 species